UACGUAGGGUCCGAGCGUUGUCCGGAGGUACUGGGCGUAAAGCGCGCGCAGGCGGUCUUUUAAGUCAGAGGUGAAAGCCCGGGGCUCAACCCCGGAAUAGCCUUUGAAACUGGAAGACUUGAAUCUUGGAGAGGUCAGUGGAAUUCCGAGUGUAGAGGUGAAAUUCGUAGAUAUUCGGAAGAACACCAGUGGCGAAGGCGACUGACUGGACAAGUAUUGACGCUGAGGUGCGAAAGCGUGGGGAGCAAACAGG
rnacentral:rRNA from 1 species